rnacentral:ncRNA from 1 species
AAAAGACUUAGUCCUAACCUUACCGUUAAUUCCUACCAAACAUAUACAUGCAAGCAUCCGCACCCCAGUGCAAACGCCCCCAACAUCUUAACAAGAAAACAGGAGCAGGCAUCAGGCACCCCCCCCCGGCAGCCCAAGACGCCCCGCCCAGCCACACCCCCACGGGUACUCAGCAGUAAUUAACCUUAAGCAAUAAGUGCAAACUUGACUUAGUUAUGGUAAACCCACAGGGCUGGUAAAUCUUGUGCCAGCCACCGCGGUCAUACAAGAAGCCCAAAUUAACACCUCCACGGCGUAAAGAGUGAGCCCAAAAACUAUCUAACAACUGGAACUAAAAUGCGACCAAGCUGUUAUAAGCACAAGACGCACCUAACAACUGCCACCAAAACUGACCCCAGCCACACGACUAACAACAACCCACGAAAGCUAAGACACAAACUGGGAUUAGAUACCCCACUAUGCUUAGCCACAAAUCCAGAUGUUUAACCACCCAAACAUCCGCCCGAGAACUACGAGCACAAACGCUUAAAACUCUAAGGACUUGGCGGUGCCUCAAACCCACCUAGAGGAGCCUGUUCUAUAAUCGAUAACCCACGAUACACCCAACCACCCCUAGCCCAAAUCAGCCUAUAUACCGCCGUCCCCAGCUCGCCCUUACAGUUGAAGGCCCAAACAGCAAGCACAACAGCCCCCCGCUAACAAGACAGGUCGAGGUAUAGCCCAUGGGAUGGAAGCAAUGGGCUACAUUUUCUACCCUAGAAAACCCACGGCAAGAGGUGCGAAACCCCCUCCAAAAGGCGGAUUUAGCAGUAAAGCAGGACAAUAAUGCCUCCUUUAAACCGGCUCUGAGGUACGUACAUACCGCCCGUCACCCUCCUCCCAAGCCACCAACAACUAAUCACUAACUAAUACAUCAACCAUAAGCCAAAGAUGAGGUAAGUCGUAACAAGGUAAGUGUACCGGAAGGUGCACUUAGUCUACC